rnacentral:rRNA from 1 species
CCUACGGGAGGCAGCAGUAGGGAAUCUUCGGCAAUGGGGGGAACCCUGACCGAGCAACGCCGCGUGAGUGAAGAAGGUUUUCGGAUCGUAAAGCUCUGUUGUUAAGGAAGAACGUGUGUGAGAGUGGAAAGUUCACACAGUGACGGUACUUAACCAGAAAGGGACGGCUAACUACGUGCCAGCAGCCGCGGUAAUACGUAGGUCCCGAGCGUUGUCCGGAUUUAUUGGGCGUAAAGCGAGCGCAGGCGGUUAGAUAAGUCUGAAGUGAAAGGCAGUGGCUCAACCAUUGUAGGCUUUGGAAACUGUUUAACUUGAGUGCAGAAGGGGAGAGUGGAAUUCCAUGUGUAGCGGUGAAAUGCGUAGAUAUAUGGAGGAACACCGGUGGCGAAAGCGGCUCUCUGGUCUGUAACUGACGCUGAGGCUCGAAAGCGUGGGGAGCGAACAGGAUUAGAUACCCGGGUAGUC